GAUGAACGCUGGCGGCGUGCCUAAUUCAUGCAAGUCGAGCGAACAGACGAGGAGCUUGCUCCUGUGACGUUAGCGGCGGACGGGUGAGUAACACGUGGAUAACCUACCUAUAAGACUGGGAUAACUUCGGGAAACCGGCGCUAAUACCGGAUAAUAUAUUGAACCGCAUAGUUCAAUAGUGAAAGACGGUUUUGCUGUCACUUAUAGAUGGAUCCGCACCGCAUUAGCUAGUUGGUAAGGUAACGGCUUACCAAGGCAACGAUGCGUAGCCGCCCUGAGCGGGUCAUCCGACACCCUGGAACUGAGAAACGUUCCCGACUCCUACGGGAGGCAGCAGUAGGGAAUCUUCCGCAAGGGGCGAAAGCCUGACGGAGCAACACCGCGUGAAUGAUGAAGGUGUACGGCUCGGUAAACUCUGUUGUUAGGAGAGAACUAAUGUUUAAGUAACUAUGCAGGUCUUGACGGUACCUAAUCAGAAAGCCACGGCUAACUACGUG
rnacentral:rRNA from 1 species